rnacentral:lncRNA from 1 species
GCAAGGGAGUGGUCAAAUAUUAUUAAUAGGACACCAAAUGUUAGCUUAAACGUACAUUUGAGCGUUUUGUGAAAUGUAUAAUUGUAUUUUGGGAUAAAGUGAAGCACAGGAGUUGAGGGGAGCUCCUCUCACAGGGGGUUGGGUUGCCGUGCCGAUUGGCUGCUGUUCAUAGACAUACAGUCACGGGCUUGAAACAACCAGGGGCAGGUCGACAGCAAGGAAACCAUAAUCAUUGAAAAUGAAAAGUACAGCGUCCGUAUCGUAACCCAAGAGGUUCUCUGGCCUACUACUGCAGCUGCGGCUGGGAUUUUCUUGAUCCACUUUCACAAUUUGGGAAAAAAGGUCAUUUGACGCGCACAAACGAAGAGUUUUCCAUUUCAGUGACAUUGGCCAACAUGUAAAUGAUAAUGAAGCAGUGCCAUUAUGAUUCGCCCACAUGUGCAUACUCUCAGUAAUGCAACACAUUGCCCCGUACCUGUCCACAGGUGACUGAUCCACUAGAAAGUACAUGGAAAACAUCACCAACCAGCAGACAGACACUUGGCUUUAACCCUCGACCUUCCUGUCUCCUCUGUCUAUGGGUUAAAGUUUAAGAGUCAAAGCUUACUCACUUAUCAUCCCUAGAGAAGCCUUAGAAGUCUGACCUUUGAGAAUCAGGACCUGCCUCUGCCUGACAGGGACCCACAAGGCUUAUGGGACAGUGUGCACACAAGGAACUCAGGGGGCGUGGUAGCCAGACUAAGUU